rnacentral:lncRNA from 1 species
GCCGGAUGAGGCGGGCGGAGAGCUGAGUCUGCACGGAGAAGGGGAAAAGGUCUCUGCUCAGUGGAGGGCGUGGCUCCUAUUACGGGACGGUUGCAGAAUUGGACCCCGAGUGGUGGACCCACAAAUGGUAGACCGGAGAGGCAGGCUUACACCUUCGUGAGGCGGUCACGCCGCGUAAUAAGGCAGAGGGGACCCACCACCAAGAAACCCACUGCCGAGACCGUCAUUCAACAAGCGCUUUGCUCCCAGAAGUGUCCUCCCAGCUCUCAUCCAACCGCAGGAGCAAGCCCGAUGGAGAUCCCUGGCCGUCAAAACAACAAGAGCAUUUUAAAAAUCCCUGCACAAAAAAAAAAAAAAAAGAUGGGCAAAGGUUGGACCUGGGGUGUGGGUCCGUGGUGGAGCCCUUGCCUAGCAUGCUUCAGACCCUAGGUUCCAUCCCCAGCACCGCAUAAAACAGCCGGGUUGGGGAGCAAGGAUCUGAAUAGACAGUUCUCCAAAAAGGUCAUGUAAAUGAACAACACGUACAGGUAAAGAUGCUCCGCACCUUCAGUCAUCGGGAAAUGCAAAUCAAAGCCGGGCUGAGAUAGUAGUUCCUGCCCACUAGGCUGGCUUUGAUUCAAAACAAAACAAAUCUGAACAGACGAAAAAGGAAAGCAAAUGAAUGUUGGCAAAGAUGUGGAGAAAUAGGAACCCUCCUACGCUGCUGGUGAGGUGGUGAAAUGGUGCAGGCCGAUGUGAAAAACAGUUUUGGGCUGUUCCUCAAAAGUUAAACAGAAAUACCACAUGACACAGCAAUGAUGCUCCUAGGUAUGUACUCAAGAGAGAUAAACACACAUCCACUCCAGCUGGUAUGUGGCCACACCCAUAUUCUGGAG